AUGCAUGGGAGCGGAAGCAGCUCGGUAAACUCUUGGCUUCACCUAACUCUUUUUGUCUUAGUUUAUCCCUUGCAAGCAAGCAAUUUACUACUAUAUUACAAAUCCUUCUAUGCAGAGGAGAAUCUUAUAGUAUACAUUUCAAGACGACCAAUGCUUGAAACAGUGACUGAAACAGUUGGUCUAGAAGUACAAGGCUACACAUGUUGGUAUGCUCAUGAAGGUAUGAUACAAGCGUCCGUACUAAUUGCUCUGCCACGUCAGAAAGAUAGUUUCAGAGAAUCCUCCAUUACAUAUGAAGGAGAAACAACUAAUUAA
rnacentral:rRNA from 1 species